UAAGACAGCGGUUUCCGUACGGUCAACGUAGUUAAGCAACGUCGAGCCUGGUCAGUACCUAGAUGGGUAAGCGCUUGGAAAUACCAUGUGCUGUAAG